rnacentral:lncRNA from 1 species
GACGCGCAGACACCAGCCCCCUGCCCCGCCCCAUCACACCGCAAGGGAAGCGGUUCUGGUCCCAGGCCCCACAGGCUCCAGCACGAGCUUUCCCUUGCGGGCGUAAAGCACCUCCCUGGUGGCUGACAGAGCUAAAGUGCUGGGUGUUUACCAAGACGGCUAUUUGGGGAAAACGCAGAGAAAAGCAACAUCUUCGCCAGCUUCCCGCCAGCCCCCCGAGCACAUGAAUUACUCCCGAGAGCUCAUUUUGAUGAUCCUUUGCCGAAAGACUCAAGUUUAUUUUGCUUUCAUCUGCCCAGAAGAAUGCGAGGUGAUUGUAAAGCUGUGAAGAGGCGGCGAGGCGGAGGGAUCUGGUGUGGUGAUGGCACACGAGAGUGUAAUCCGUCCUCGGCUUACCCAGCAGUCUGGCCACAUUCUGGGAGACAAAGGCCCUGACCCCAAGCGUCAGGUUCCUGGGAUGGUCAGCACCCCAUCACGCCCUCCCCAGACAAAGACUGACCCUGAGAGAGAAGUGACCAGCUGAGACUGACCAAGCCACUGGACUGCAGGACUCCCGGCCUCCACCUGACAGCUCCACUGCUGCCCACACCCGAACCAGGGCUCUUCCUAGAGGCUGCCCUUGAAAACCUUCUGCCAGGGGUACCCU